AUGAGAAUCCAUCAAUCAACAGAAGAUGCUGCAGUGAGAGGCGGAGCACAAAUGGACAAAUGUUGCGCUAUGUUGGCGGAGCCACAUAUGAUUGACAGAGGUCACCAUCUCCUGCUCCUGACAUCAACACUGACGUGCAUCAGCUGUAAAUCAUCAUCAUGCAUCUUCAUGUGUAUAAUAUUUUAUCAUGUACUGUGUUUAAAGUCAUUAAUAUGUUUGUAUUAUAAUUCCUAAUGCAUACGUUCAGCAUCUGCUUUGGUUUCUUCAAUCUCUGUUUGCUGUAAUAGCGGCUCUUUACGUCAUUAUUAUUUGUAAGUGUUUGCUUGUAUUUCCUACUGCAGGACUCAUUUUUAUUUCGAAAAUUUAAAUGACAUCUAAAUGCGUUAUUUGAAUAUCAGUUCUGAUUGGUCAGUUUUGUAAUGAGAGGAGUUAAUUCCAUCAGCUCUGGCAUUCCUGAAAUAAUUAAAACUCAUUUGAGCUACAGCAAAUGAAAGAAAAGUUAAAUAAAAUUACUCCUUUCUGCACUUUAGUAAGUAAAACCUUUGAUCAUCUGCUUGGAUGUAAUGUGGAAGUCCCCAGCUGCCGGGUCGUGACCUAGUAACAGGCCGUGAAAGAGUUGCUACUGGGCCACAAGAACGCUGCUAGUCUAUAUGCGAUCCCACUUGAAUUUUUAUUUUGCAUUUCCCCUUUAAGAGCCAAUAUCCACAUUUUCAUAAGGUGUGAUUUUAGAAAAACAUUGGUUCUACACUUUAAAGUUCAGCUAAUAUUAACAUGGGUGGGAAACAAACAUCUCUCCAAAGUUUCUUUAGUAGAGGAGGUGUGAAAAAAAGAUAAUGUUGGCAGAUCCAGCUAUUAUACUUGUCUUUUCCAUGUCAUUUGACACUUUAGAAAGUUAAUCAAGUGUGAAGUUGCAGUUUAGGGUUAGCGAUAUCUUUAUCUUAUAUAUUUACAAAAGAUUUUUUUUUUUUUCACAGUAAUAUCUGGCAACAUUGCAAUGAUGACAUUAAUCAAAAGAGCCCACGGACAGGUUAUUGCUUACAGGAUUCUUAACCUCACCCCAGACAUUACUAAGUUUCAUACUUUAAUUUUGACAGCAAAUUUUGAUUUAGUUUUAGUCAUAGUCUUUUGACUAAAAUGCCAUUUAGUUUUAGUCAUAUUUUAGUCAUCUAAAUUGUUUUUAAUUUCAGUCUAGUUAUGGUCGACUAAAUACCAUAAGAUUUUAGUCGACUAAAUCUACAGUAAAUUUAAUCGGCUAAAACCUAAUGGGUUUAGUUACAGUGCAUUUAUUAAGCAUUUUUCUAAAAUUUCCAAACUCAUUACAUGCGUUUGAUAUUAAGGUUUUAUCAUGAUAGACACCGAUUUAACUGCAGUGACACACAACAUGCCUUUGUUAAAAUUAAAUAAAACCACUUCUCAUAAAGAACAAGAACAUGAUCUUCUUUUUAAUGUAAUACCAAUGGUUACAUAGGCUAAAUAUUCUUCAUAGCAACUUGCUUACCAUAUUCUUCAUUCUUUCAAGCAGACAUGUUUAUUUCUGUUAAUAAAUUUAGAUUAAUCUUUGGGGCUACUAAGGUUUUCAGUCAAGAGCAGUGUGUGAUUUUCUGUCUUUCUUUUGUUUGCUUUAACUCACAGUUAACUACUAAACUCAGCUCAUGAUUUAUUUAUACUUCGUAUCAAAUACACAUGAACUAACACAGCGAGUAUUCAGCCUGGUUAAGAGACGUGGAUUUUCAAGAAGUCAGAGAGUGGAGGAACAGUGUCAUCACUGCGUCUGGAUGGACAGUGAACUGUUCCGGGCAUUUCUUCAGGAUUUUUCUACAAAUGUUCUUUGUGGAUUUUGAGGUUGUAUUAUUAUUUAGCUGUUUUUAAGUCACAUCAGGGUGAUUUUAAAGGGAAAGAGAACAACAAAAAACAAAACAGACAAGAUCAAUCAUAAAGCUGAAGAUUUCAAAAGCUCAAAUUAAGAUAUAAAAUUAUUUUAAUUUGUUUCAGAGUCAGAGUAUUUCUUUUUCUUCCUUAAAGAGGCUGUUGACCCAAAUGUUAAUUAUAAUGCAUUAACUCUUAAACAUGUAUUAACAUGUAAUUAAGCCUGCCAUUAUUCAUGCGUGAAUCCAUAUGACUCCAGUUGUAGUUAAGGAUAGUUCUUCAUAAAUUCAUGAUUAGUUAACAACUUUAAUAAUCAUUAGUAUUUGAUAAAUUAAGUAUUCA
rnacentral:lncRNA from 12 species